CCUACGGGUGGCUGCAGUGAGGAAUAUUGGUCAAUGGCCGAGAGGCUGAACCAGCCAAGUCGCGUGAGGGAAGACGGCCCUACGGGUUGUAAACCUCUUUUGUCGGGGAGCAAAGCGAGUCACGUGUGACUCAUUGUGAGUACCCGAAGAAAAAGCAUCGGCUAACUCCGUGCCAGCAGCAGCGGUAAUACGGAGGAUGCGGGCGUUAUCCGGAUUUAUUGGGUUUAAAGGGUGCGCAGGCGGAGGUGGAAGUCAGCGGUCAAAUUGCGGGGCUCAACACCGUACUGCCGUUGAAACUGCAUGCCUUGAGUGCGCGAGAAGUAUGCGGAAUGCGUGGUGUAGCGGUGAAAUGCAUAGAUAUCACGCAGAACUCCGAUUGCGAAGGCAGCAUACCGGCGCGCAACUGACGCUCAUGCACGAAAGCGUGGGUAUCGAACAGGAUUAGAUACCCUAGUAGUC
rnacentral:rRNA from 1 species